rnacentral:lncRNA from 1 species
UGUGCUUUUGUCGCCGCCAGAUUGUUUACAUUGGUUACAAAAAGUAGUUUGGUCAAAGUUGUCUAUCAUAAUAAACAACGUCAAGAGCCACUACCGGAAGUGUUCUCAACAAUUCAUAUACACAAAUUCCCUAAUACGCAAAUCAUACAAGGAUCAUAUAUAUAUUAACUUCAUUGAGAUUAUAUUUUAUUGGAAUGGCUUCAAAAUUAUCAACAUAAAUAAAAC